AUUGAACGCUGGCGGCAGGCCUAACACAUGCAAGUCGAACGAGUGGCGGACGGGUGAGUACUGUCUGGGAAACUGCCCGAUGGAGGGGGAUAACUACUGGAAACGGUAGCUAAUACCGCAUACCAUCGGAUGUGCCCAUAUGGGAUUAGCUAGUAGGUGGGGUAACGGCUCACCUAGGCGACGAUCCCGAGCUGAUCUGAGAGGAUGACCGGCAACACGGGAACUGAGACAGGGUCCAGACUCCUACGGGAGGCAGCAGUGGGGAAUAUUGCACAAUGGGCGCAAGCCUGAUGCAGCCAUGCCGCGUGUAUGAAGAAGGCCUUCGGGUUGUAAAGUACUUUCAGCGAGGAGGCGUUACUCGCAGAAGAAGCACCGGCUAACUCCGUGCCAGCAGCCGCGGUAAUAC
rnacentral:rRNA from 1 species